AUGAGAACCUGCCCGUGGAAGAUUUCCAAAGCAAAUUUAGCCAGAGCUGUUCAGAAUUCAAGUAAAGAAGGCAUUUGGCCGUACUUCCUCCACAACAUAUUCAAAUUUGUAUAUCCAGUCAUGCGUUGAAAAGGAAAGCAUUAUUCAUUAUCUCCGCCACAACCUCAAUCAAUAUCAACGAAAGCAGCAAAAGGAGAAAAGAACAUGUAUCUUCCCAUGAUACAGAAACAAAGCUGCCAACCGAACGAGGUGAAUCAGUCAAGAUGAAACAGAAACUGGAGCCAACAACUCCAGUGAAAAGGAAAUGAAGGUUAACCAACUCCUUUUGCAACCACUUUUGGCUUUCGUGGAACAAAGUUGUUUUGCAGGAAAAUGAAGUGUUUACUAUAACUUGCUGAAUUUUUGGCUUGUACAUAGAUUUCCAGUGACUUCUAUAGUCAUGGAAUAAAGGUCAGUGUCUGCAUUUUCUUAAUGCCAAAAAAUACUGCCUUAUUGAAUGCCUUAUGUGGUUGGAUGUUGCUUUCUUCCCCAAUUUCAGGUUCUAGCAUCAUAUCUGUUUGUAAAGUAAUCUUUGGAAUAGUUUUGACUUAUUGAUUUCUCAUUGAGAAGGAAAGCAGCAUCGAAGGCUGCAACGCGAAAUUAAAAGAAAGUAACUGUGUAAAUCUUUAGAUUUUUAAACUGUGCCUAAGAAUAGGGAAAUUCGUCGAAGGCUGCAAUGCGAAAUUAAAAAAAAAAGAAAAAGUAACUCUGUAAAUCUUUAGAUUAUUAAACUGUGCCUAACAACAGGAAAAUUCAUCGAAGGCUGCAACGUGAAAUUAAAAAAAAAGUAACUGUGUAAAUCUCUAUAUUAUUAAACUGUGCCUAACAACAGGAAAAUUCAUCGAAGGCUGCAACACGAAAUUAGAAAAACGUAACUAUAUAAAAAUAUGUACAGUUUACGUCUUAUUUGUUAUGUACCCUACUCUAACGUUCCACUUAUUAGGUUUUGUAUGUGUAACCUGUUGUGCAAUGCAAUAUACUUCUAAGAUAAUGUCAAUUCUUUAUACUUAAGAAUAGCUUGUUGAUAUCACGCAUCAUUUUGCAUAUUUGUGCAGCUUUAGUAAAAUAGUCUUAACUUUCUUAGGAAAGUUUAGAUGAUGAAUCUUUUACAAUGAAACUUUCUUUCAAAAUUUUCUCCACAUUUGGAACCAUGUAAGCAUCAAAUCUGCUACGUACGUGUCUCAAUAAAGAAAUAGGUUGUUAUGGCAAAUUAACUUCAACAUUAUACCUAUGAUAUUUUGGCCUUAUUUGAAUCGAAUUAGAAUUUUAGGUUACUGAUAUCUUAUUUACUGCAUAUGGUCUUUAUUUUUAGGUAAUAAUGCUUGCAUAUGAUUUACAAAAUCAAUGAAAUCAAUUAUGGUAGCCUACUAAAAACAACCCGAGUUUCUAUUAUUUUAUUUCUGAUAUUAACUUGGCUUGGAAAAGUAGUGGAUAAAAAUUGAAUCAAAGAAGAAGUUGUAUGAUAUUCAGCGCAUUCUGAAGAGUCACUUGGCAAAAUAACAUAUGUAUUCUUUGGAUUCUGGUUAUUGAGAUCUAACUUUCACUGAGUUUUUAAGACCAACACAGGGAAGUAAAGCAUGGAACCAGUCAUUAUGAAUAUUGACAGGAAUGUGAAUUAUUUUGGGCUUAAGAAACACAAAAACCAAUGUCGUGGAUAGAUUUUAGUUUCAAGGGGGGAAAACUAGAAGAUAAACCAUAGGAGUGUAAUGAAAUGUCAUCCACAUGACAUGUCAUCUAUUAGCUCAUAUUUUUAGAAGUAAAGCCUUGUUCUAGAGUUGAAACAUACAUCAUUAAAAAGAAAAUAAAAGACAGCGGGGAGAGGAAUAUGGGGCAAGGGACCAAAAAAAAAAAAAAAAAAAAACAGAUGAGGUUUCUACCUUACAACUGUUCCGUUAGAGAUUAGAAUGAUGCAACAUUUGGUAAUGCCAAACAUCCCCUUAGUGCUUUGGUUAUUAUGUUAUGACAUACUCUAUUACCGUUUACCAACAAGAAUGAUGAAACAUUUGCUGUGACAAUUUUUGUUUAAUUUUGGAUAAAUAAAGUGAGCCAGUAUCCUAAGAUUGAAAUGUGAUGUUUAAGGUACAUAGUGUAACACUUGUAGGUGUAGAGUGUACUGUUCAUUUGGUGCAGUGAGGCAGUAGUUAUAUUUAUCUCAUGACGUCUUGCUGCUAAAUGAAUAAGAGUUUUCAUCAGCGCACACAUGAUCUGUGUGAUUAUUCUAUAUCUGUUAUGUUAAGAAAUUGUAAUCUAUUUUAAACUCUAUUUCUUUACCAGCAAUUUAUAAUAAGUUGCAACAUCAUUUUCUUAAUUCUAUCAUACUUUUGCUUUGAAUGAUCGGCUGGAUUUGUGCCCUGAGGAGGUCGAGAACGAUGAGCAGAAUUUGAAAAAUUCCUACACGGAGCACAUACACACAGAUGAGGAGAUUUACAGUCUGGAAGGGAGUGCAUAUUUUUAUGUGACCGCUGGAUUCGCAUCUGGAUCAAGGCUGGUGAUCUGAUUGUCCUGGCUGCUGGGAUUUAUCACACGUUCGCUCUAGACACCGCAAACUAUGUCAAGGAGAAGUACAAUCAAAAGUUGAAUGCUCACAAUCAAAGCCAAGACAACUACAAUAUUAUGAUGAAUGCUCACGCUCAAAUGAUGAAUGCGUUCAAGACACAUAUGAUAAUUAAAGAAGGGACAGUACCUACGAAAUUUGUUGGUAUCUUUGUUUCUACGACUCUUUCAAUGUUGCUGUCAUUAGGUGAUAAGCAAUAUUAGAUAUUUAGGGACACAAGGAGAUGAUAAAACAAUCAGAAUAUUAAAUAUCCAUUGCUACAAGUGUUCCCAAUGGGCAAGGGAGAGGAAGAACAACCAAGACCCACUUCAAUGGAUGCACGAAGUACAAACCAAAAUGAAGAGGAUAGGUGCAGGGGUUGUUGAGUUUUAAACCAAAAUGUAUUGUUGCUUGGUGUGGGAGUCCUGCUUUUUGCUCUCUUUUUGUUGCUAUUCUUCAAGAAUGGAGAUCUGGGGGAUCUAGAUCUUGACAACAAUUAUAAAGAAUGAAGAGUUGUGAGGGCUAGUCCAAGAUGUGAACAGCUGACUAUAACGAAGAGUCAUAAAAAAAAAAAAAAAAAAAAAAAAAAAAAAAGAAAGAAAAAGGAGGACAGCCUAGUGCACUAAGCUCCCGCGAAGCGCGGGGUUAGGGGAAGGGCCAGUCACAACAGUCAUUAGGGAAAAAGAAAGUUAUUAUCGUAACAUCAUCAUUGCAAGUAAACUUCGUUUUAAGAAGGUUCUUGCUGUGCUUGAAGAUAUGGAUCUCAUAGACCAUUUGGAUUACUUUGUAGGAGAUACUUAUUGGUUUGGUAAUGACACUAGAAUUAUCAGAACAACUAGAGACAAGCAUUUGACAGGGAAGAACGAUGCAGUAUAUGAAGUGACUACACUAGCUAACCAUGAAGCUGUUCUAUUGUUCAAUCAACACACUUUCAAGAAAAAGUUCUAGAUAAGUGUUUUGAGAAGCUCUCAUCAAAAGUAGUAAAAUCAUGCUGGAGGUCUUCCUUUAGCCCUGAAAGUGCAGGGUGCUUGCUUGCGUAGGAAAGACAUAACUGCGUGGAGAAGUGCUAUAGAGCGAAUGAAGAAUAACUUUGGAUCAGAAAUUCUUAGACAACUCAAAAACAAGCUAUUAUGGAUUGGAGCAAGAGAUAUUUCCAGAUAUAGUAUGUUUCUCUCGAGGGUAUGAUGAAUAUUACAUCAUAAAUAUCCUUGAGAGUUGUGGAUUUGAACUUACUAUCAGAUUGAGUGUCCUAAUUGAAAGAUCUCCUGUGUUCAUUUCUGAAGAAUAUACAAUUGAAAUGCCUGAAAAAUCUCUCAUGUCCUGCUCUGGAGAAUAUACAUUUGAAAUGCAUGAUUUGAUAAAAAGAUAUGGUUAAAUAUCUUGUAAAUAUGAAAAAUGAUCCCGGAGAAUAUAGCAUACUAUGGCGCAUUGAAGAUUUGGACUUAGCAAAUUGCAAGAUGCUUAAAGAGCUUCAGAACUUCCACCAAAAAUAGCUACCGUGAAUGCAAAUUUGAACAUGGCUCUGAAAAGUAUUCAGUAUUUGGUAGCCAAGUGCAAGAAAUUACAGCUUGUAUUAUGUACACCUAUGUACGAUGAGUAUGAUGUGUUCAAUGCUUUUUUAACUUCUGAUUCCUUGUCUCGGAGAGUGUUCGCCAUGGUGCAUCCUGUUAUAGUGAUCCCAAUUUGGUUCAACCAUGGUGGAUUCUGUGGAAAUGAGCUAGUGGUCAGGUUGCCUAAUUUCUUUUUUAUGUAAAUGGAAACUACUUCGGAUUUGCUAUAUGUUGCUGUAGAAGCUCAUAUGAAACCAUGGUUGAAUUGAUACGCUUAGCUAAUGAUGAUGAGUCAGAGAAGCUGAGCAAGAAACUUGAAUUAUACUUCCUUCCAAAGUGUAAUUCAGAAUUUGGAGUACAUUUUUUCUUCACACCUCUUGCUAGUUUAUGGGAUGCACAUAACACAAGUGAAGAAACAUCAAAUGACUAUGGGCAGAAAUGGUGGAAAACAAUCCUUGCGUGCAUUUUGUUGUCAAUAUGGAAUGAAAGGAAUUCAAGAUGGUUUGAGGAUAGGGGUAGCCGUAUUCAGAAAAUUAAGAUGACUUUGUCUUCUUCUGUUGUCUUUUUGUAAAGAAGAGUUAGUUGAAGAUGCAGAAUCUUCACUUGGUAUCAUAGGAGCCUUGUAGAAGAACAAGAAUUUUCUUUUUGUUGGUCUAUGAACUGUAUAUAUGGAUUCCUGCAGUCUUUGUGUGGAAGUUUUUCAAUAAAUAUUGUCACUGUUACCA